rnacentral:rRNA from 1 species
UAGGUCCCAAGGGUUGGGCUGUUCGCCCAUUAAAGUGGUACGCGAGCUGGGUUCAGAACGUCGUGAGACAGUUCGGUCCCUAUCCGUCGCAGGCGUAGGAAAUUUGAGAAGACCUGUCCUUAGUACGAGAGGACCGGGAUGGACGUACCUCUGGUGUACCAGUUGUUCUGCCAAGGGCAUGGCUGGGUAGCUAUGUACGGAAUGGAUAAGCGCUGAAAGCAUCUAAGCGCGAAGCCAACUUCAAGAUAAGA